GCUAAAUAAGAGCGUAUGGGGAAUGCCUUGGCUCUCAGAGGCGAUGAAGGACGUGAUAAGCUGCGAAAAGCUGCGGGGAUUGGCACAUACAAACUGAUCCGUAGAUAUCCGAAUGGGGCAACCCAGCAUGUUGAAGACAUGUUACACCGAAAGGUGAGCAAACCCGGAGAACUGAAACAUCUAAGUACCCGGAGGAGAAGAAAACAAAAGUGAUUCCGUUAGUAGUGGCGAGCGAAAGCGGAUUAGCCCAAACCAAUAUUGUUAAGGCAAUAUUGGGGUUGUAGGACUGCAAUAAUUGAACUGUAAUGAAUUAGAAUAGUUUGGAAAAACUAACCAAAGAGGGUGAUAGUCCCGUAUAAGUAAAGAACAGUAAGAUAGCAGUAUCCUGAGUAGUGCGGGACACGAGUAAUCCUGUGUGAAUCAGUCGGGACCAUCCGAUAAGGCUAAAUACUCCUGAGAGACCGAUAGUGAACUAGUACCGUGAGGGAAAGGUGAAAAGAACCCUGAAUAAGGGAGUGAAAUAGAUCCUGAAACCAUACGCUUACAAGCGGUCGGAGCAGCGUAAGUUGUGACGGCGUGCCUUUUGCAUAAUGAGCCUACGAGUUACCGUUGCUAGCAAGGUUAAGUGAUUAAGUCACGGAUCCGUAGCGAAAGCGAGUCUGAAUAGGGCGUUUUAGUUAGUAGUGGUAGACGCGAAACCGUGUGAUCUACCCAUGGGCAGGGUGAAGCUGUAGUAACAUACAGUGGAGGCCCGAACCGAUAUACGUUGAAAAGUGUUCGGAUGACCUGUGGGUAGGGGUGAAAGGCCAAUCAAACCCGGAAAUAGCUCGUACUCCCCGAAAUGCAUUUAGGUGCAGCGUUCAGGUAGAGUAUUAUAGAGGUAGAGCUACUGAUAGGGCUAGGGGGCUUCACCGCCUACCAAACCCUGACAAACUCCGAAUGCUAUAAUAUAUACUGAGCAGUGAGGGCAUGGGUGCUAAGGUCCAUGUCCGAGAGGGAAAGAACCCAGAUCAUCAGCUAAGGCCCCCAAAUGUAUGUUAAGUUGAUCAAACGUUGUGCGAUUGCAUAGACAGCUAGGAUGUUGGCUUGGAAGCAGCCAUUCAUUUAAAGAGUGCGUAACAGCUCACUAGUCGAGCGAUCGUGCGUGGAUAAUAAUCGGGCAUUAAACAUACUGCCGAAGCUAUGACAUCGAAAGAUGGGUAGGGGAGCAUUCUAUAUGCGUUGAAUGUGAGGGGUGACCUUCGCUGGAGCGUAUAGAAAAGCAAAUGUAGGAAUAAGUAACGAUAAAGCAGGCGAGAAACCUGCUCACCAAUAGACUAAGGUUUCCUUGGCGACGCUAAUCGUCCAAGGGUUAGUCGGGACCUAACGCGAACCCGAGAGGGGUAGUGGAUGGAUAAUGGGUUAAUAUUCCCAUACUUGGUAUAACUGCGAUGGGGUGACGGAGUGAUGAAAGAACCGCGUACUGACGGAAUAGUACGUUAAAGGGUGUAGAUAUUGGGACUGUAGGCAAAUCCGCAGACCUAGUCGAACCUGAUAGUACCACAAAGCUUCGGCUGCGUGGAUAGUGUUCCUAAGCGCUUCCAAGAAAAACCUCUAAGCUUCAGGUUAUACCAACUCGUACCGCAAACCAACACAGGUAGUCAAGUAGAGAAUACUGAGGUGCUCGAGUGAUUCAUGGCUAAGGAACUAGGCAAAAUGGUCUCGUAACUUCGGGAGAAGAGACGCCAACUUCGGUUGGCCGCAGUGAAUAGGCCCAGGCGACUGUUUAUCAAAAACACAGGGCUAUGCUAAAUUGAAAGAUGAUGUAUAUGGCCUGACACCUGCCCGGUGCUGGAAGGUUAAGUGGAGUUGUUAGUUUAGGCGAAGCAAUCAAAUGAAGCCCCAGUAAACGGCGGCCGUAACAAUAACGGUCCUAAGGUAGCGAAAUUCCUUGUCGGGUAAGUUCCGAC
rnacentral:rRNA from 1 species